rnacentral:other from 1 species
AUUACCCUGGGGCGUUUGUGAUUGCCCGGAGUGUUAUUGAACCAAUGCUCUGACAAAGGGUUAGCGCUCCAGCGUGCCGGUGAGCAGGCCCGACUCGAAUCGGGAAGCCUAAAGGUGCGCGAGCCGUGCCCACCUGGACAUACCAGGUUCUAAACAAACAGGUAACACGGCCUCCCGGGGAUUUU